UUUCCGUAGGUGAACCUGCGGAAGGAUCAUUAAUGAGUUGUCAUGGGGUUCGAUGCUGGCAGCCAAUUUUUGGAUGCAUGUACUUGCCCUAACAAUCAUCUUCCAAACACCUGUGCACAUUUUUGAGGGAGUCUUGAGUUGGUUGCCGCUCUUGGGUGAUUUUCUCACAUUCCCUUAAAUCAUUAUACGCUAUUAACAAUGUUGAACGUGCUCUGUGCCGCAAGGCUAUUAAUAUAAUACAACUUUUAACAACGGAUCUCUUGGCUCUC
rnacentral:misc_RNA from 1 species